rnacentral:misc_RNA from 1 species
GAUGAAGAACGCAGUGAAAUGCGAUAAGUAAUGUGAAUUGCAGAAUUCAGUGAAUCAUCGAAUCUUUGAACGCACCUUGCACCCUUUGGCAUUCCGAAGGGUAUGCUCGUUUGAGUGUCAUUGUACUCUCACUCUCCCGAUCUUUGGAUCGGGAGUGGUGGACUUGGGUGUUGCUGCUUUACCGUGGCUCACCUCAAAUCGAUUCGUGCACCUCUUGGUUGGACAUAGUACGGCGUGAUAAGUGUCUUCGCCGGCACCUCAGUAGAGGGUGGCUGAUCAGGAGCUCUGUGCUUCAAACCGUCCUCGGACAACAACUGACAACUUGACCUCAAAUCGAGUAGGACUACCCGCUGAACUUAAGCAUAUCAAUAAGCGGAGGA